UCGUUUCUCCUUUCUUCUCUCAUGAAGAAGGGGCUUCUCAGUUUUGGAACAACAAACCAUGGAGGAUAUGGGUCUGCACGGGCUUGGAGCAGGAAGCCAUGUCGGCCAAGGUUGAAGAUGAUGGUGUUGUCUUCUUCCUUCUGAUUGAUUUCCAACAGCUUAAGAACUUGUGCGGUGGUGUCAACCUCUUAUGCUAUCACGGAAAAUCCUAAAGAAGCCUUGCUUUGCAUGGGAGCUGUAGUUCAUCUGGCUAAGUGCUCGUGCUAUGGAAGCGACGAGGGCUGCCGCAGUGUAGACAAGG